UCGAGUGUUUUUUGCAUAGUUUUUGUAUGUAUAAACAAGUAUUUUGUUUGAUACUAAACUAUCAUACACUAUGCACAAGGCAUUUGCAGAAUCCAGGAUUGGUAGUUAUAGGCAGCUUUAUUCCCAAAUUUUGGAGAUGCUGACAAAUACUUAAACCUACAACACAUUUUUUGGUCAGAGGGCACAUGCCAUCUCUCUAAAGCCAUGACCUCAUGACCGUGAACUGUGGCAUGGUUGACAAGAUUGGGAUAUUCAAAUAGCUUCUCAUGUAGAACUGAUUCUUCCUGUCAGACAAACAAAGUUUACAAUGGUGAGUGAAUCAAAAUUUUACAACUUUUAAGAA